UCCUACGGGGAGGCAGCAGUGGGGAAUUUUGGACAAUGGGCGAAAGCCUGAUCCAGCAAUGCCGCGUGUGUGAAGAAGGCCUUCGGGUUGUAAAGCACUUUUGUCCGGAAAGAAAUCCUUGGCUCUAAUACAGUCGGGGGAUGACGGUACCGGAAGAAUAAGCACCGGCUAACUACGUGCCAGCAGCCGCGGUAAUACGUAGGGUGCGAGCGUUAAUCGGAAUUACUGGGCGUAAAGCGUGCGCAGGCGGUUUGCUAAGACCGAUGUGAAAUCCCCGGGCUCAACCUGGGAACUGCAUUGGUGACUGGCAGGCUAGAGUAUGGCAGAGGGGGGUAGAAUUCCACGUGUAGCAGUGAAAUGCGUAGAGAUGUGGAGGAAUACCGAUGGCGAAGGCAGCCCCCUGGGCCAAUACUGACGCUCANGCACG
rnacentral:rRNA from 1 species